AAUAGAUACCCCGGUAGUCCACGCCGUAAACGAUGAGUGCUAAGUGUUAGAGGGUUUCCGCCCUUUAGUGCUGCAGCUAACGCAUUAAGCACUCCGCCUGGGGAGUACGGUCGCAAGACUGAAACUCAAAGGAAUUGACGGGGGCCCGCACAAGCGGUGGAGCAUGUGGUUUAAUUCGAAGCAACGCGAAGAACCUUACCAGGUCUUGACAUCCCACUGACCGGUAUAGAGAUAUACCUUUCCCUUCGGGGACAGUGGUGACAGGUGGUGCAUGGUUGUCGUCAGCUCGUGUCGUGAGAUGUUGGGUUAAGUCCCGCAACGAGCGCAACCCUUGAUCUUAGUUGCCAGCAUUUAGCUGGGCACUCUAAGGUGACUGCCGGUGACAAACCGGAGGAAGGUGGGGAUGACGUCAAAUCAUCAUGCCCCUUAUGACCUGGGCUACACACGUGCUACAAUGGAUGGUACAAAGGGCUGCAAGACUGCGAAGUCAAGCCAAUCCCAUAAAAACCAUUCUCAGUUCGGAUUGCAGGCG
rnacentral:rRNA from 1 species